rnacentral:rRNA from 1 species
UGGGAAAGAAAUCCAGCCGGCUAAUACCUGGUUGGGAUGACGGUACCCAAAGAAUAAGCACCGGCUAACUUCGUGCCAGCAGCCGCGGUAAUACGAAGGGUGCAAGCGUUACUCGGAAUUACUGGGCGUAAAGCGUGCGUAGGUGGUUGUUUAAGUCUGUUGUGAAAGCCCUGGGCUCAACCUGGGAACUGCAGUGGAAACUGGACAACUAGAGUGUGGUAGAGGGUAGCGGAAUUCCCGGUGUAGCAGUGAAAUGCGUAGAGAUCGGGAGGAACAUCCAUGGCGAAGGCAGCUACCUGGACCAACACUGACACUGAGGCACGAAAGCGUGGGGAGCAAACAGGAUUAGAUACCCUGGUAGUCCACGCCCUAAACGAUGCGAACUGGAUGUUGGGUGCAAUUUGGCACGCA